UUGAUGGACAUUGGGGUUGUUUCUGCCUUUUGGUUAGCGUGAAUACAGUUGCUAUGAACAUUAGUAUGCAAAUGUAAGUUUGAAUCUCUGUUCUGAAUUCUUUUGGUUACACACCUGUAAGUGGACUUGCUGGGUCAUACGGUAAUUCUAUGCUUAACCUUUUGAGGAACCACCAAAGUGUUUCAACAAUAGCUGCACCAUUUUUCACUCUCAGCAGCAAUAUAUGCGGGUUCCAGUUUCUCACAGGCGAGGGGGAUGGAGGGAUGGGAUGGAAGAUGCCUGGGCUGGGAGUCGGUGCCCAGUGUUCCCUCCUGAUCUUAGAUCAGACUCCUCAGCUUCUUGGCCAUUGGAGCAGGGCUGCUCCCCAUACCCACUGUGGCAGUCCCCUGGAGUCCCCCAGGCUUCACCCAGCAGCACCCAGGUGACAGGUCCCCAACAACCCCCUUGGACACGCUCAGACACUCCAGGGCUUUCAACAAUUAGAAGCCUGCCCUCUGCCGGCUGCUCAGUGACACAGACCCCAGGACCCAGCAACAGAAACAGGAACGCGCAGGCGCGGCUCUAGCGAGGUGGAGUCUGCGCUGCACUGCCGGCUGUGGUGGCGGCACUUCCGACUUCUGAGGGAAAGAGGCCAAGGCUGGGGCCGAGCUCGGAGCCCCAGCGCUGGAUCAGCCUGGGGGCGGGCUCCGGUCCAGCCACCGGCGCACCCGGGGCAGAAGCUGCGCCCGAGGAUCAGGCCGGCUCAGCCACGCUUAAGUGAAGCCGAGAUGGACUUGACAGGCCGGGGGGAGAUAACCACAAGUUACUUCCUGAUAAAGGGCUGGAGAGUCCCUGGGCCUUCCAACCAAUUAACCAGAUAAGAAGAGCAAGGCGUAAUCAGAAGCCUGUCCUGCAACUUAAAAACCAACCAAUCAAAAGGCAGUCCCACGGCUUGAAAACCAACCAAUCAGGAGCCAAGACAAUCAGCCACUUUUGAAGGAGCAAAUGAAUUAAGGGAGGGAGGGGGAAUGGCAUACCCCAUGCAUGUAAUCUGCUGAAAAGUAUAAAAGAAAUUCACCCCCCGCUGUGCGGGAUCCCUGCCCAUGGAAAGAGACCACUGCGUUGGUGCUCCGGGCUUGGACCCCAGCUCAAGCUAGUCAAUAAAACUCCUUUGCCUUUUUGCAGCCUCA